rnacentral:rRNA from 1 species
GAUGAACGCUGGCGGCGUGCCUAAUACAUGCAAGUCGAGCGCCCUGGACUUUGCCCAUUAAUUCCUAAAAAGGUUAGUGAGCAGCGUCUAGGGAGCGGCGGACGGCUGAGUAAACGCGUAGGAACGUACCCCAAACUGAGGCAUAAGCACCGGAAACGGUGUCUAAUACCGCAUAAUCUCUUCGGAGCAAAGCUACGGCGGUUUGGGANCGGCCUGCGUCUGAUUAGUUAGNGGUGAGGUAAUGGCUCACCAAGACAAUGAUCGGUAGCUGGUCUGAGAGGAUGACCAGCCAGACUGGGACU